ensembl:lncRNA
CUUCCCAUCUUUGCUGAUUAAACCUUUUUGAAUACCCUAUUUUUUUAUUGUAAUUUGGUUAAAGCAGAACUCUCUUUUUUUUUUUUUUUUUUUUUUUUUUAAGUAUAGCCGCACAGUAAGAAAAAAACAUGCAAUUCUAUAGUGAAAAGAUUCUGAAGGUUACAUGGGUUCAUGGUAAAUAAAAUCUGAAUUGACCACCUUAAUCAUUUGUGUACACAAUUUAGAGCUAUUAUAAUUUUCAGAGGUGAUACACUUUCUGAAAAUGUAUUUUUCCUUUCAGAUAUGGUAUUGUUAUCUUCGCUGGGAUUGAUGGUUAUUCACGAAAGGUAAACAUUUGACACUUUUUCAAAACAAUGUGGCUGAGCCUAGUAUUACUAUAUUCUAUGUAGUAUGGCACAUUCAGUAAUUGCGCAGGAAGAUGUUACCACCUGCUGGGCAUUGCUGCCUGUCGCACCUCCUCCAGUGCCCAUGGGUCAGCUGCAGGGUCAUCAGCCAGAAACCACCAUUCACCAACGUUUCGCUCCUUUAAUUCUGGAACGUCUCCUGGUGGCGGAGCAGUGACAGGGACGUCUCCCUGUCACCCCCUGCAGCUGAUCGCUGUUCUCCCUGCGGCUGUUGUCUGGGGUUAGGUGUUCUUCCCCCAACACCUAUCUUUCCUCCUCAGCCAGAGCCAAAAGCUACCUUUCUCUGCCUCCUCUGCCAGAUCCUUUGUUGCCCUCCUUAACCUCCCUCCGGUCACUCCUGCUUCCCUCAAGAGGCGUAUGGUUGACAACCCAAGGAAACCUCGGCAUCCGACCUCCACUGGGUAGAUGUUCGUCUUCCAGCCAGCCUCCCGGCACUCAGCAGCGAGUUCUGAGUACCUGGCCUUCUUCCGUUCGAAGGCGGCCUCGAUUCCCUCCUCCAGUGGUACAGUAAGCUCAAUGAGGUUUAUCGAUCUUGCUUUGGUUGACCACACCACUAUGUCUGGCCGGAGAGAUGUGGUGGUUAUCUCCAUUGGGAACCGGAGCUGCCUGUCCAGGUCGACCCUCAUAUUCCACUCCUGGUUGGGGGAGAAGGGCCUUGCUGUUUCUCUUGAUCUGGUGCUUCUCCUUACCCCUCCUUCCGACACAAAGAUGGUGGGGUCCUCUGCUGGUGGUGGUUGUUUGCUACCCUGUCGACACUCCUCCAGUACUUCGGCUAGUACACAGGAUUCUUCAUUCCCAAACCACUGUUGGAGGUUCCGAGGGCAGGGAAGCGUGUCGUAGGUUGAACGGAUGAGGAAGCUAAGUCUUGCCUGUGGGAUCUUCCACACAUCUGACCAACUGAUGUUCCGGUUCAUGAUUCCCUCCCAGGUUGUCCAGCUUCCUUGUCGACCCUGCGACACGGCCUUGAUUUUGUAGCGAUCUUCCUCCAUCCUCGUCACCUCUGCUACCACCAUCUCCUUCCUUUGCUUGCGAUUGGCCUUGGACCAAAAGCAUGGCGUCUCUCCCCAUCCUAGCCCUGCUCUUCCUGCCUGAACUCUGCCCAUGAUCUCCCGGUGUUGUAG